AUAGUGGCGCACGGGUGCGUAACGCGUAACCAACCUACCCGAAUCUGGGGGAUAGCCCGCCGAAAGGCGGAUUAAUACCGCAUAAAACUGCAGCCUGGCAUCGGGUAACAGUUAAAGAUUUAUUGGAUUCGGAUGGGGUUGCGUGCCAUUAGCUAGUUGGCGGGGUAACGGCCCACCAAGGCGACGAUGGCUAGGGGAGCUGAGAGGCUGGUCCCCCACACGGGCACUGAGAUACGGGCCCGACUCCUACGGGAGGCAGCAGUGGGGAAUAUUGCACAAUGGGCGCAAGCCUGAUGCAGCAACGCCGCGUGAGGGACGACGGCCUUCGGGUUGUAAACCUCUUUUAGUAGGGAAGAAGCGACUGGGUUUUCCUGGGAGUGACGGUACCUGCAGAAAAAGCACCGGCUAACUACGUGCCAGCAGCCGCGGUAAUACGUAGGGUGCAAGCGUUAUCCGGAAUUAUUGGGCGUAAAGAGCUCGUAGGCGG
rnacentral:rRNA from 1 species